GUCGGAGGGUGGGGAAGGCAGCUAGCUUCCUCUUGGAUCUGGAGCCAAGAUCACGCCCUGAAACGGGGAAACUCCCUCCCCUCCAUCGUCAGAGGUUCCAUCACAGCCUCCACUCCUGGGAUGAGAAAAGCAAAUUGACUCUUCAUGUGUGUGGAGUUCCCCACUGACUGGGAACAAAUGCUCUCAGCAAGUCUCCAGAAAAGGGGGCCUCCCGGGCUCCCAGGGGUGUGACGUGGGGUGGGUGUGUUUUUGAUAUGGGAGUGUGGUGGUGCCAGAAUGUAAGUCAUCUGCAUACAGGCCCCAUCUCAUGCAGAAAUGUGGGAGGUGCUCACAGCCCACGAGCCUCCCUGAGGCCUGGGUGAGGCACAGAAGCCAGUUCAGUUCGUCACCAGGUGGCUGGGGAAUGGGAAUGAGGCGCUCCCUCCCUGUGGAGUCUUCAACAGUGUUGGGGGACAGCCGCAUUCACCUGAGCGUCCUCCUGAAACCUCAAGCCAGGGGCUGCUGAGCUCUGCUGGACAGAAGUGAAGGCCUCCUCACAGGGCCGGCUCCAUGGAUCUGAGAUGUGCUCCAACAACCAUCAUGAUCUUUCCAGUCAGGGAGAAGCAAACGGGAUUAACCAACUGCUUGUUUAUUGCCUACUGUUCAUGAGCAAGAGGUGAAGCAGCACAAGGUGUUCACCAGACACGGCUGCCCGAGCUUGGACUUCACAGCCUCCAGAACUGCGAGCCAAAAUAAACUUCUUUCCUUUAUAAAUUACCCAGUCUCAGAUAUUCUAUUAUAACAACAGAAAAUGGACUAGGUGUACAGUUUUACCUGUAAAUAAUUUGGGGAGCUACGUGUCCAACAUUGUCC
rnacentral:lncRNA from 1 species